CCUCGCCACAUUGUCGCAUCAUCUCCCUCAUCACCGACCGCUACAACAGGAGAUUUGCCGCUCCUCCUCCAUCAUCACCAGCCGUAGCACCAAGAGAUCUGCCACCGACGAGAUCCAGCGCCUUGCAAGGUCCUCGGGUCGGCCUUGUCGUGCCCGCCACUCUGUCGACCAGAUAUGCGCCCUUGACUCCCUCUUCUCUCGCGUUGCAUGGUGCCUGCUGCUCCAGCAUGCCAUGGUUAACUCAUGGAUGACAGGGCCAUGGACCGGUCCUUGAAGGAGAGAAGGAAGAUGGGGAAGAGAGAAGGAAGGAGAGGAGGGAGAAGGAGAGAGGAAAGAGGAGAGGGACGUGCAGCGGUAGAUGGGAGAUGGUCAUUGGCCGGCAUCUCCUUCCCUUCUCUUCUCACCAUCUCCUCUUCUUUGGAGCUAGUUGAGUGAUCCAUGGUGAGGAAGAUGGGGAAGACAUAGACAGCAAAGAAGACAACUCGGCCCUGCUACUGAUGCGCCACGGGCCACUUCAGUCAGGUGCCUUCCAUUCUUCCUCCCUCAGGAUUUUCAAUCCAAGCAGAGCAUAAAAUGGAGCCGGCAACAGGGAUCAUGGAAAAACAACGGUGGCUGAAUAGUGGACACCCGAAGCUGGCCGAGACAGAGGGAUGCAGUGCAGGGCAGAAGAGGGCGUCCAUGUGGUAUCUGUUUCUGCUCAUCUUCAGCUUGCAGGUUGCUGAAUUUUCUCCUCUUUUUUCUGGUUUGCUUUGAUCAGUGGAACAAGUCGCACAACAUGUGUUUGCAUAAAUGCUUCUCACAGAUCAAGGCUUCUAUGUGCAGGUGAGCGGUUUACUAAAGUUCUAGCCCGUCCAUACUACAUGCUCCCAGAGGCAUUAAAGCACAACUAUGGCUCUGAAAUCGUUGUCUGGAUUGUAGGAGUUAUACUUUACAUACUUCCUUGUGGUGUGCAAACAUUUUUGGAAGGUACUUACUUUCCUUCAUUGGACAAAAUAUAUGUUGUGAAGAAAUUAUAAAUCACCUUACAAAUUGUCCAUGCCGCCGCCUUGAUUCGCUAGCCGCUGCCUAGAGUCACCCUGCUGUCGUCUCAAGCCAAACCGUGCGUCAACUCCACCACUGCAGCCAGGAAUCCCUUCCCUGGCAAGCUUACUUCCUCUGAAUCCCAGCUCUACCUGGUCCUCCUGUCGAGCUUAUUACAUCUAUGAUGUGUGUGUGCUUGCUACCUUGCUGCUGGGUGCUUUGUCGUUGGGUGUUGAGCCGCUGAUGUCCUGAUGCCGAUGCUUUGUUGUAUAUAUAUUUGUAUAAUGCUUGUAUCUUGCUUUGUUCUAAACUGACUGUUUUCCUUGUUGUGGCUGACCUGCUGAUAUUGCUGCUUUGCUGGCCAGGGAGUAAGUUCAAUGAUAUACAGACACAAGAGAUAUUCAGUUAUGUUGUUGGGGAAAUUAAUGAUCAUUCAGUCAACAAAUGGGGCAAUAUCUUGAUCUCAUUUCAUCGUAGGCAUUGAUUAUUUGUUGUCUUCUUUGCAUGCAUUUUAUUAAUUAUUUAUACAUACUUGUCGUAUCUUUGUACUGUUGUUUUUAUAAAAUGUCGUUUCCUGUGUGCCCGUUUCCAUAUCAUCGUAUGUAUGUUGCUGUACGACACUUCAUAGCAAAAACUUAUACUCACUAAAGAAAGUGUUCCUUUUCUUGUUCCAUUGCUCGAUAAGUAUGAUCAUGUUUCUACUGAUUGAUUAUACAUAUGAUCUUUCUUUUGAUUAUUUUGUGGUGUUUCUGAUUGACACUAUGAGGCGCUUCCUUGUCAUGCAGAUUCAUCCUUUAGUUAAAUUCUGAUGAUGAUAUGGCUGUAAAUUAGUCUGGUAUAUGCCAAUAGUUGUCUCUCCUAGAAGAUUUUUUGUCAGAAUAGCUUACUAAAGAUUUGGUUGUUUGUCUAGAUUUUACACCCAACUAUAAGAAUGGGUGACAACACUGAUUGGCUCUAUUGUGCUUCUGUGUUGUCCAGAUGCAUCAUUUACUUAUACACUAAUGAUAUUGUUGUAGCUAAACAAAUGGGUCAAAACCACAUCAACCCAGCUAUAAGAAUGCAAUCUUAUGAUUCAUACUCACCUAUGGAUGCUAUAUUGUACAUUCUUUUGAUGAAACUAUAUUGUACAUUUAAUAACAUGACUUCUUCCAUGAGAGAGCACUUCUUACAGGUUUAACUGAGUGAGAUGGGGUUUAGGCACAAGAAGAGGAACCAUGGGUGGGUGCUCUUGCAAUGCUCGGCUAACUCCCAAGACUGCUAGGGGAAGGACUUCCUGGUGCGUGUGUGAUUUCCUUCGAACCAAAUGAACCUAACAGAAAGUCAGAAACACACACACACACACAUGCAUUUUGUUCUUGUCCCUGAUGCUGUGUUGUUAUUGGUGUAGCCGCUGGAGAGGAAAGAGCAGAGGAUGUCUUGGGGGCUUGAUCAUUUUAUCUGUCUGUGCAGGGAUGGCAAGGCAGAUUGAAGGUGGUCACGGCCAUCUCACAGAGAUGGUGCAAGCUGUCAAGAAUCACGGUGCUGGGGCACUACACUUCGCCUCCGGGUGCAAGAUGGCGGAAGUGUGCGAGUACCUGUUGAGGUUGUCCAGGUGGACGUGGAUGCUGUUGACCAAGCAGGGCAUUGUGAAAUAGUAGAACUCUUGCUCUCUAGGGGUGCUUAUGUCGAUCUAUUUUAUAUGGAUCAUGGGAC